CCUCCCGCCAGCGCCUCCGGGACUUCUAGGCACAAAGGUGGAGCCUCCGGUUCAUCUGCUCUUGCAGCAGUGUUGCCACCCACCAUCAGAAGCCUGGAAACUUGGGGACCUGGACCACACAAAUCAUUAACUAGGCGUCCCUUGAUGAAGCCCCACGAGGGGAAUUCAGUUGUCAGUUCUUCGAAAUCCUGGGCCCAAAGUGAGAGAUGAGGCAGUUCCUCCGAAGAGCCUCCUCCUCCUUCACCACCACCAACGAACGAUUAACUGUCUCACCUUUUGGAGGAGCCUAGUCAUGAUUGUAGAUUUCAGGAGCUUCCUGAGGCUCAUGAGGCUUAGGAGUCUCUCUCUUCCCUCCAGGAGAGAAAUUUGGAGUAAAGAACUACAGAACCCCGCGGAAGGACAGAAGUUCUCGUGUGCUUCUGCGGAGGAACGCCACACACAUCUGUGGAAUGUCAGAGCCCUGCUUCGGGAGGAAAAGCCCACUUGACGUGGUCAUCGCGGAGCUGGGGAUACCGUCUUCAAAGGAAAGUGGCUGUGCAUCGCUCUAAAUGGCUAGGUCCCUGCAGGGAGUGGGCAAGUCCGCACACACCACCAGGGAAAGUGGCCAGCUCUCUGUGUAGGCUUGAUAACAUUUAAUGUCUGAUAGUGGACCAGAGGGAGAAAAGGGAAAUAUAAGAGAUCAUGGGAUGCAGUUCACGGGGUGAGUUAAGCUCUGAAUAAGCAUCAAUAAAAAUAAGUCAACUUAGGUUCUAUAGGUAGAGAUGCAUGCUAAAGAGACUAUAUGCCCAGAGGUGGGGAUGAGUCUGGAGUGGUCCAGAAAGCAUGACCGAAGAGCAGUGAAUAGGAGGCAGAACAUCCUCCCAUGAACCUGUCAGAGAAAAGUGUUCUGGGUAGUGGGAAGACCAAGGAAGCCUUCAUAGAAGGGCUAAAGAGGGAGUAGGUGAGCCACAAAUAUAUAAGAUCAAGGCCAGAUCGUAUGGGAGUGUCAGCCAAAGUGGAGGUUAUUGUUCUUUUAGGAGACGAGCCAGUUGGGAGGAGAGUUAGUGCGAAGAAAGAGAGAUGUGUGUGUGAACUAACAAGUUAAGAAGUCAAAGCACCACCUCCUAGAAUCAAGUGAGAAGAGACUCCUUUUGUUUUUUUGUGUUUGUUGUUGUUGUUGUUGUUUUGGUUUCUCCUGACGAACUUACUAUG